rnacentral:rRNA from 1 species
UACGAAGGGGGCUAGCGUUGUUCGGAAUUACUGGGCGUAAAGGGCUCGUAGGUGGCCAACUAAGUCAGACGUGAAAUCCCUCGGCUUAACCGGGGAACUGCGUCUGAUACUGGAUGGCUUGAGGUUGGGAGAGGGAUGCGGAAUUCCAGGUGUAGCGGUGAAAUGCGUAGAUAUCUGGAGGAACACCGGUGGCGAAGGCGGCAUCCUGAACCAAUUCUGACGCUGAGGAGCGAAAGCCAGGGGAGCAAACGGG